rnacentral:rRNA from 1 species
CCCUUAGAUGCUCUGGGCCGCACGCGCGCUACACUGGUCGAUGCAACGAGUUUCUUUCCUUGGCCGACAGGCCUGGGCAAUCUUUGAACAUCGAUCGUGAUCGGGAUAGAUUCUUGUAAUUUUUGAUCUUAAACGAGGAAUUCCUAGUAAACGCAAGUCAUCAGCUUGCAUUGAUUACGUCCCUGCCCUUUGUACACACCGCCCGUCGCACCUACCGACUGAAUGGUCCGGUGAAAUCUCCGGACUGGCGUGAGUCGGAGCAAUCUGACGAACACCGGAAAGUUGAUUAAACCUUACCAUUUAGAGGAAGGUGAAGUCGUAACA